rnacentral:lncRNA from 1 species
UAAUUUUUUUUUGAUUUUUUGGGCAUUUUUGCCCCUUUUUCUUCAUUUUUUGGGCCUUUUUUUGCCCCUUUUUCUUGAUUUUUUUUUUUAAUUUUUUGGCCAUUUUCUUUGCCCUUUUUCUUGAUUUUUUGGGCCUUUUUUGCCCCUUUUUCUUGAUUUUUUUCUUGAUUUUUUUCUUGAUUCUUUGGGCCUUUUUUUGCCCCUUUUUCUUGAUUUUUUUCCCUUAUUUUCCCCCUUUUUCCUAAUUUUUUUUUUAAUUUUUCCCCCUUUUUUUCCCCCUUUUCCCCAACAUUUUUUUUCCUGCCUUCCCCCCCAUAUUUUUUACCCCUUUCCUGCCUUUUUUCAACCCAAAACUCCCGGGAGUUGCCAAAGUUUUUUCAACACCUGCAGCACAAAAGGCAGAAUUCGUUAAAAGCACAACACAACCCCCCCCUCUCCCCCCCAUACUCACCUCCAAACUGCCCCAAAAAGCAGCUUUUUCCCCCCAAAAAUCCGAAUUCUCGAGGCUUUCACUCACACACACCAACCCAAACCACAAUAUUCUCAUUUUUCCACCAGUUUUCCACCAUUCUUGGACCAUUUUUAACCAAUAAACCGAUUUUUUUGGUGAUUUUAAGCACCCAGGACUUGCCAUUUUUGACUCCAGGUUGCCCAAAGCGGCGCCUUUUGGCCCCAAAACCGACACCACCCAUUUUUUGGGGGUUUUAUUUUCUUUCUGCAGUGACCUCAAAAUGCACCUUUCGGCCUCUUUUUUGGGGUUUUUUUUUUGGCCUUUUGUUUCCUGCCGGGACCAGAGGCUGGAGGGGACCUUUGGCACCUUUAAAUCACUUUAUUUUUCCUUUAAAUUUCUUAUUUUCAAUCAUUUCUUUCCAUUUUAACCCUUUCAAUCAUUUAAGGAUUUCCACUCUUCUUUUACCUCAGUGGUUUUUUCACCCAAAUACCUUUUUUUUAACCUAA